UCCUGCCUACGGGGGGCAGCAGUGGGGAAUAUUGGGCAAUGGGCGCAAGCCUGACCCAGCAACGCCGCGUGAAGGAAGAAGGCUUUCGGGUUGUAAACUUCUUUUCUCGGGGACGAAGAAAGUGACGGUACCUGAGGAAUAAGCCACGGCUAACUACGUGCCAGCAGCCGCGGUAAUACGUAGGUGGCAAGCGUUAUCCGGAUUUACUGGGUGUAAAGGGCGUGUAGGCGGGACUGCAAGUCAGAUGUGAAAACCAUGGGCUCAACCCAUGGCCUGCAUUUGAAACUGUAGGUCUUGAGUGUUGG
rnacentral:rRNA from 1 species